CAGUAGCCGCGGUUACACGAAGGGGGCUAGCGUUGUUCGGAUUUACUGGGCGUAAAGCGCACGUAGGCGGAUCCUUAAGUCAGAGGUGAAAUCCCAAGGCUCAACCUUGGAACUGCCUUUGAUACUGGGGAUCUCGAGUCCGGGAGAGGUGAGUGGAACCGCGAGUGUAGAGGUGAAAUUCGUAGAUAUUCGCAAGAACACCAGUGGCGAAGGCGACUCUCUGGUCUGUAACUGACGCUGAGGAGCGAAAGCGUGGGGAGCGAACAGGAUUAGAUACCCGCGUAGUCCCUGUCUCUUAUAC
rnacentral:rRNA from 1 species